UACGAAGGGGGCUAGCGUUGCUCGGAAUGACUGGGCGUAAAGGGCGCGUAGGCGGAUGGUACAGUCAGAUGUGAAAUUCCUGGGCUCAACCUGGGGGCUGCAUUUGAUACGUGCUGUCUUGAGUUCGGAAGAGGGUCGUGGAAUUCCCAGUGUAGAGGUGAAAUUCGUAGAUAUUGGGAAGAACACCGGUGGCGAAGGCGGCCUGCUGGGCAGUGCUGACACUGAGGCGCGACAGCGUGGGGAGCAAACAGGG
rnacentral:rRNA from 1 species